UUGUCCAUUUCCAAGAACUUUCUGGUACCAGAGGGCAACUUAUUCCAAGGUAUUCAAUUACAACAACGUUGAGGUAAGCAACCUGGGCCGUGGUGAUAGUGGGUGCACACACUAGUUCCACAAGUUCUUUCAAAGUGAUUACUUGUUGCCACACUGGGUCAAGAGGAUCAACUCUGUCACCAAUGAUGACAGGAAGGAGUCUAAGGAGACACCAGUUCUCAGCUGCUUGGCCACCUACUGUAUUUGCCUUUUCCUUAACCGGAGAAGGAGAUGAAAGAGAAUCUGAGUCUUUGUAGGAAAAUUGUUCGAUUCGUCUGUUCAGCUGAGAGUAUGUGAACCAAUGCUUGACCUUUACACAUUAUCGCAGGUAAAUGGCUAAGUCAUAAGCUACAACUCCCUCAAACAAGUCAUGCCCUAUGCAUGGAGGAAGCCCUGGCUGGCAAACAUGGCAUCAACUGUACGUACAGGGAAACUCUCACUCACAUUCUCAAGUUGAUCUCUUGGUACCUCACAAUACCUACAGAAGUACUUGGACAUGCUGAAAUUCUCAGGAGGAAUGGAGGAGGAAUGCGUCACCGUGAGACAGCCGUGAGAUGCAUUUUUGUGCUCUGCCUUGGCCCUCUGAAUAAAGCUGCGGAGUGAGAGGUUGGACCAAUCACUGACUCCUGUGCCCUUUAUCUUCAUAUAUAUUUAUGCUGACAGGUCAUCUCCUUCUGUUCAGUUGGGACUGUGGAAAUUCCUCUAGUAUAGACGGACGGUCUCUUUGAACAGCUCGGCUGUGUUGUGAGGACUGCUGGCCUGAGAAAAAAACAAGUUCUGAAAGUUUUGAGAUUACAGACUCCAUCGUCUUCAUCCAUUUGACUGACCUCACUAACUGCUCUGAAGUCUUGAGGCAAUAGCUGCUGCCUUUGACCUGUCCUGCUCCCUCGUCUCGUCCGUCGCCCAGGGGAGGCGCCUUUGGGGGGGGGGGGGGUUCUGUUACGCCCAGCUCGUCCGAUCCUCAUGUGUGCCACGCCCCCCUCAUUACCUCGUGUGGCUACCCGAUUGUCAUCAGCUGUUCCUUGUGCUUUCCUACCCGUCUGGGGUAUUUAGUCUGCAUCCCUAUCUGUAUUCCCUAGUUCUGUCAUUGACGUUGUCCGACGUACUGCCUGGUCCUGUCCCUGCCUGCCCAUCUGUAAUCAAUAAACCCUAUUUGCCUGUCAGUCCGGCUCAGCUUGCCUGCUUUCCUCCUCGCCUGCACCACGGAUCAUAACACUCAGAUUAACCUUUUUUUUUUAAAAAAAAAAAAAGUAUUUAUUUAUUAUUAUUUAUUAAAAAAAUGUUUUGUUGUAUUGUAAUGUUUUUGUCUUCUUUCUCCGACCCCAGGCCUCACUGAUGCGCCAAGUAUCCAGUUGACUACUGCCAGUUUGGAAGAAGAUAACUCUUUAUGGGCAUUGCUGUUAAGAUGACAUCAACCCUAACCCACAGCAAACAGAAACCGAACCGAACCGAGGCUCCAAAACCGUGAACCGAACCGAAUCGAACCGAGGCUCCAAAACCGUGAACCGAACCGAAUCGUGCCUUUGGUGUAUCGUUACACCCCUACUCUUAACUAACUCUGAAGUAGACCAAGAUAAUUAGCUAAUUUUCCAGAAAAUUUAUGUUUUCCCUUAACGCUUUCACUGAUGACAUUUGUUAGCAUGAAUUUAGCAUAAAAAUCUUUAAAAUAAUAAUAGUUUACUUGUGUGUAAUGCAGAGAAUUGCUCUUUUAAUUAAGGUGUUUGAUAGUACACAUCCAGAGGAAAUCUGUAAACUGUAACUUGGGACAAUUUCUGUACUUAAUUUGAAUUACAAUCUUUUACUUAAAAUUUAAAGUAAAGUUUUCUUUUUACA